UCAUUCCACAGAGGAAAGGUGGUGGGAAGGGCCUUGGCUAGCUGAGGGCAGAGUUAAAUUCAGGACCCUUCCCUGAUGAUGAUGCUCCGCUGCCCAGUAUUUUGAGAGUCAGAUCAGCAAGAUUCUUGGACAUGGUUUUCAUUCCCUGAAGAAUGUGCUUGGUUCAUUUCCAGCAUCUGCUAUGAAGUCAGAUGUGCAGUUAAGAGUUAAGGGGAAUUCCACACUCCUGUGGGAGACUUUAGACAUCUGGGAGAAGUUCCUCCUUUCUAGGAACUCCCCACCUGCAGCCACCGUUGGCAUCAGUCUGCGCCUUCCCUGUGCGGCAGCUACUGUUUCCUGACCUGAGACGUGCCAGGCACCGGCGCUUCCCUACAUCAGGCUG